rnacentral:rRNA from 1 species
UGCAGUCGAGCGGUAGAGAGAAGCUUGCUUCUCUUGAGAGCGGCGGACGGGUGAGUAAUGCCUAGGAAUCUGCCUGGUAGUGGGGGAUAACGUUCGGAAACGGACGCUAAUACCGCAUACGUCCUACGGGAGAAAGCAGGGGACCUUCGGGCCUUGCGCUAUCAGAUGAGCCUAGGUCGGAUUAGCUAGUUGGUGGGGUAAUGGCUCACCAAGGCGACGAUCCGUAACUGGUCUGAGAGGAUGAUCAGUCACACUGGAACUGAGACACGGUCCAGACUCCUACGGGAGGCAGCAGUGGGGAAUAUUGGACAAUGGGCGAAAGCCUGAUCCAGCCAUGCCGCGUGUGUGAAGAAGGUCUUCGGAUUGUAAAGCACUUUAAGUUGGGAGGAAGGGCUGUUACCUAAUACGUGAUGGUUUUGACGUUACCGACAGAAUAAGCACCGGCUAACUCUGUGCCAGCAGCCGCGGUAAUACAGAGGGUGCGAGCGUUAAUCGGAUUUACUGGGCGUAAAGCGUGCGUAGGCGGCUUUUUAAGUCGGAUGUGAAAUCCCUGAGCUUAACUUAGGAAUUGCAUUCGAUACUGGGAAGCUAGAGUAUGGGAGAGGAUGGUAGAAUUCCAGGUGUAGCGGUGAAAUGCGUAGAGAUCUGGAGGAAUACCGAUGGCGAA